GUUUGGAUUGGUCGGUGUUGCAUCUUGUGUCUAUAAAAUGAGCUGCUCGUAAUGCGUAAAUAAUUUCUACAGCAUAAAAAAAAAAAGAUAUUAGGUUAGCCAUGGAGAACUGCAAAUACAGUAUGUUGCUGCCCUGAAUUUAUUGGGCGCUAUCGACAAAGUUCAGUGGGAAAAAGUUGUGAUGGACUACUUUCUGGACUACUUUCUAGACAAAGAUCGUGCCAUGCAAUGCUGACUCUCUCAUUUCAUAACACGUUUCGAAAUCAGUGGAACACAACGGGCCAAACAAGCUGUGCAAACUAAACGGAUACCACACAGGAUGUCUUAUAAAAGGGGUUGCAGUCUGCCAUGAAACUUUCAUCCAUACAGCAUUAAUCAGUAGAACACGCCUGACUCUAAUCCACCAGUCAUACAGUCAUCAACAAGAGAGCUGGCCCGAGCAAGCAAUGGCAGCAGCACAGUCAUUAUCUAUAUGCACCAUUUCUUCACCAAAUACGGAGUUGGGAAAACUUGUGUGGACCUGAAUUGUGAUAACUGCAGUGGCCAAAACAAGAACAAGUUUGUGCUCUGGUAUUGUGCCUGGUGGAUCAUGCACAAGCUCCACCACAAUCUGGACCUUCACUUCCUGAUCACAGGCCACACCAAGUUUGCCCCUGACUUGUGCUUUGGCCUCAUCAAGCAGCGCUUCAGAAAGACCAGAGUGAACACUUUGUCUGAGAUUGCUGAUGUUGUGAAGUACAGGGGUUAACAUCCCACAGCUGGUUGGACUGGAGGAUGGUACGGUGCUGGUGGAAAGCUAUGGCUGGCAACAACACCUGACUCCGUACUUCAGGCCACUGGCACAGAUCAUGCAGUACCAGCACUUCAGCUUCAAUGCUCCGGAGCCUGGUGUUGUCGCCAAGGAGCGUUCAGACUGUCAAGACCAGGUUUCAGCUGCUGCGCAACGCUGACAUCCUUCCUCCCAUAGAUUAUCUGCUUGUAAAAGCACCACCUGGACUGUACACAGCUAGACAAACUAUCUUUUUGACAAGAUCAGGGAGUUUUGCCAUGAAGAGGCUAUGGACAUCACGUGCCCUGAACCAAAGUCAAGGGCAGGACAGAAACAGACUCUCCGAAUAUAGAUUCACUUGUUCAUGUGUGGUUUGGACGGACCAGUCAUCAGCACUAUCUGCAGUGCCUCUAUUCACAUGACUCUCUCCUAACACGCACGCCAUACGUUGCUGCUAUUUUUUAAUCCUGCUGCUCAGACACUACACCCCUGAUUGUAUGCAUAACAACCUCGUCUAUCACUAUCGUUAUUGUUCUUGUACAUCCUGUAUAUUUUAUUUAUAUUGACACUAUCUAUUUCUGAUAUUGCUACUAUGCAAGUAACCAUUUGGCUGUACCGUUUACACCUUCUGUAGAGACCAUCCACUUAGCAACUUAGCAGAAUAUUGAUAUGUUUGGUCGUAACAUGAUUUUGUAACAUACCACAACAAUAUCGUGUGACUGUAUCAAGUCUCCACCACUUAAAUAUAUAGCGCAUGCAUCUGUUUAUGUACUGUACAUGUGCAUCUCACUCAGGUUUCAACUCAGGUUGCAUGGCCUUAACUUAUGUAUGGAAUACUAUGUGAUAAGUGCAUGUGUAGCAGUAUUUAAAGUAUGCUAAUGUACUGGUGUGAAGGCAUUUGGGCAGUGGUGUAAAAUA